UAUGUGUGUGUAUGUGUGG
rnacentral:misc_RNA from 1 species